rnacentral:lncRNA from 1 species
UGCUAUUUAGAAUUCUGAAGUUCAACAAGGAGGUCCGUCUUAACAAGCUGAACAAUUGGAAUAUGUUGAAAAUGCUCUAAGACAACAAGGGAAUCCUUAUUCUAAUACUUACAAUCAUUGAUAGAGGAAUCACCCUAAUUUUUCAUGGGGCAACCAAAAUAAUCAGAGACAAGCUACUCCACCAGCUCAACCACCCAAUGAAUGAAGGCCAAACAUGGAGGCAAUGCUUGUCAAAUUCAU